CACUGUGUACCUCAUUACACAUGAGGACCAGGAGGUACUUCUGCCAGUAAAUAAUAGGCUAUUGGAUGUCUUCGGGAAUAUAGGUCCCUAUGAAGUCCAUGGAGAGGAGGCAGGGAAUACCUCAUCCUCUCAUUCAGACCCAGGACAGUCACAGGCAACAAGGCAAUUUGCUUUUGCAAGUCAGCCCAGCGCCUCAACCAGCUGCCCGCAGGUGCCACCACCUCCAGGCCCAGCUCAGAGGAGCUAUUCGAGUCGUGUCCAGGAUGACAUGGAAGUGCUAAAUCGAGUGGAAGAGCUUGUCCUGGCAGCUUAAGACCUUCCAAAUAUUGCCCAGAUAAUGAGGAAGAUGGCUGGGCUAGCUGAGACAGGCCAGCUGUGACAUUGACAGAAGCCCAGGCCACCUCUGUGAAGGCCACCUUCCAGUGUCUUGUUUGCAGAGGAACUAUUACUGGCCUUAUAAUUGCACCCUGCUGCAGGAGCCUGGUGGGAUACAAUGGAUGUGUGCGGGAGUGGGUCCUCAACUCCCCCAACUGCCCGAAGUGUCAGUGAUGAAUGUUUUGGGGAAGAUUAUUUCAUGUUGAGUGGGAUGGACGAAGUAAUGGAUGCCCUGAGGAAUGCGGUGUCCACAUAGGUUUUUGAUUUUUAGUUUAGUGUAGUUUUUAGUUUGAUUUGUUCCCCCAUUGCUUUUUUCUACAGUUACUACAGAUUUUUAUACAGUUACUACAGUUAGUCCAAAGGUUCUUUUUUUAUUGUUGUGUGUGUGU